GCAUCACAGGUCUGUGGCUGAAAGUCGAUGGCAGUCGCAGCCAAAACGAUCCACGUAACGCAGUCAAAAGGGCUGUUGAGCAUGGUGCGGUUUAGAAGUAAGUCCUGCCGGGAAAACCGAGAGAGUGAGUUGUGAGAGGCAAGCGCCGGGUAGCUAAAGCUCCAGCAGGCGAGUGUGGGGUCAAAAGCCAGGUCAGCUGUAGAUGC
rnacentral:ncRNA from 1 species